rnacentral:lncRNA from 1 species
GAUUGAGUUGCAGAAUGUUUUGGAUCCGAUCGGGCAGGUCAAAACACGUGGCGCGAUUGUGGAUCAAAGUGCCGCUAUUUAACUGUAUCCAUAACCUUCCCGUCCUCUCCUUCUGAGAUAACGUUACGCACGUACGGAGAUUAAACGUGUGUUGUAUUGGUAGUGCCAUGACGCGGCUGCCAUACAUAUACACAUGCUUUACGUUUUCUUUGUCUCUUUUAGUAUCGUGCACGCUUCUCUUCGCCCACCUCGCCGUUUCCGCUCUUCUCGCAAUCAAUUCUGUACAAUUAAGGGCGAGGCGACAGUGUCAGUAUAAGUAAUUUCGUAGAUUAUAGUGAUAUGUACAGUGCUUUCAAGUUUUUGGCUGACUUUGCAGAAAGCAUGCGAUUGUUGGCUAGUGAUUAAUUCUUAUUUUAGGUAUGAACCGUUGCACACGGCUUGUGUCGUCUGUGUUCCGCGUUGUUAUUGUAGAUGUGUGUUGUAUCUGUAAUGUAGACAGAGGAAUGCGCGAAAAACGUGAAACGAGAAAAUGAUUGCGAUUUAUCAUUGCAAUAAAGCGUAAUGAUACGUAGUUGGUUAUGUUGAAGUGAGGGAAGAUCACGUGCAUUCUGAAGAGAUUAUGAGCACCGAUUACGUUUGGGGAGAUCGGAUGAACGUAUGAAGGAGUUCACAUGGACCCUCACUGUAGCGUGCAGUGACCCCAUAGUGCUUUGUGAAUCGUUUUGAUGCACGAAAAUUGGUUUGUAAAACUGUAGAAGAAACAAUUGUAUAUUCAAUAAGUAACAAAGAUACAAAAAGGAAGUUCGUUAUUAAAGAAGAAAGUUGGAGAAAUUGACUUCUUUUUUUUUCUAGAUCAUUAGGUAUGGAGACUUCCAAGGCCUCACAAAUGAAAGCAUAUUCUUUUGUUAUAUAAACUGUGUUGUGUGUCUUGAAUUCAUCAAGCAAUUAUCUAGGAAUGUUAGAAUGCUAUAUUUGUAACUAUGUUUGAAUAAUUUGAAAUGCUUGUCUAGCAUUAUUACAAUAGCCCAGUUUAUAAUGAUUUUGAAUUACCAUUUACGUCACUUGUAAAUUAUUCUAUAAAAUAGGUAAAUGCUAUGCUUAUGACAUAAUAGCUUCACGCAGUAUGCAAUUAGCUAUAAUUAAUCAAGAUGAAUUAUUAAUGUUCGACAAUUGUACAUGUGUAUUGGAUAAUACAAUUACAUAAAAUAUGCUUAUCGUAAGGUCAUUAACAAGCUGCUGUAUUCUAUUAUCACUUAAUUAUGUGCUUAGUAAUAUGUUCAAUUAAGCAAGGAUUUAUUGAUGUCUUAAUUUUCAGAUUUUCAUAUUUUUAAAUUUAUAGAUUUGACAUUUUGCUAAAUUAAAAUUUUCAAAGUCACAAGUUUACAAAUGAAGUUGAAAAUUGAAGUUGUCAAAAUGGCAGAUAUCCAGUAUUCAAUUUUAGAAAAUAAAAAUGUGUUUCUACUACUAUUUCACAUUGUGAACAUACUUUUAUUUAUUAUGCGAAUUCGAAUUAUUGCAAAGUAAAGAUAUUUAUGUUUGUAUUCUACUGUCUUCUUCUUAUCAGUUAAGUACUUCAGUAAUCCCAGGUUUAAUUAAACAAAGAUGUAUUGAUGUUUUCAUUUCUCAAUGUGCAUAUUUUUAAAUUUGGAUAUUUGGUAUUUUGAUAAAUUAGAAUUUUCAAAAGUUACUAGUUUACAAAUAUUGAAAAAUGAAGUUGUCAAGAUCUCAGAUAUCCAGUAUUCAAUUUUAGAAAAUAAAAAUAUAUCUCUAUUAUUAUUUCACAUUGUAAACAUUUUUUUGUUUAUCAUGCAAAUUGGAAUUAUUACAAAGUAAAGAUAUUUAUGUUUGUUUUAAGAUCAUUAACAAGCUACUGUGUUUUUGUUAUCAGUUAAGUAACUCAGUAAUCCCAGGUUUAAUUAAACAAAGAUGUACUGAUGUUUUCAUUUCUUAAUGUGCAUAAUUUUAAAUUUGGAUAUUUGGUAUUCUGAUAAAUUAGAAAUUUCAGAAGUUACAAGUUCACAAAUAUUAAAACCUGAAGUUGUCAAAAUGGCAGAUAUCCAGAUUUCAAUUUUAGAAAAUAAAAAUGUGUCUCUACUAGCAUUUCACAUUGUGAACAUUCUUUUACGACUUUGGUCCUUUCUCUACCACUUUUUUUUUAUUCCCCGCUAAUGACGCGUGUGUCAAGUGAAAUCCAUCAGUCCAUACACUUUAAAUCUCUCCAGAUUAAAAUUUCGCAACUAUGUGUAGAACGAUAAAUCUAUUCUACAAUAAUUCAACAAAUUUUUACUACCGAAUUAACUAGAUACUGUAAUCACCGAGGAAACAUUCAUCGUGGAGUAAUCGUAGCGCAAUGGUUACUUUUUUUAUCGCGAUGAUUUUCUCUUUUCAUAGACUCUUUGGAAAUUUUUAAUGAAUAGCGUCGUUUCUUUUCAUGUAUGACCAGUUGCAAAAGAACUUGAGUAUUUUUAUGCAACGAAUUCUAACGAGUUAGGUUUCGCAAAAAAGCAAACGUUUUAAUAUGAUUACACGUUGAAAUAGGAAAUUAUUAAGUAGUUGAGCAAUUUGUUUGUUUCCAGGUAGGAAAAGUUAGUAAUAUACUAUAGUUGCAGCUGUGUUAUAUACUUUUUGUAAUUUUUUGAUUCUCCUGUGUCAAUUUCGGGAUUUUAGGAUCUUUAAAUUUUUAGACUAUUGAAUUUUGGGACCACCAUUUCGAGACGGGAUGCGUUUGGAUUCUUGGAUUCAAAAAUUUUUAAAUUUUGUAAUUUUUUAUAUUGUAGCAAUCUCUCAGAGGUUAAUAAAAAUACAGAUUUCUUUGUAACAAGUUGCUGCACAAGAUAUUUUAUUAAUUCUCACAAAUCGUAUUAACAAAUAUAAAAAUCAUUUAUAAAAAUAACAUAACAUUGCAAAGUUGUCGUCAACAAAUAAAAUGAUACUACAUUUAUAAAAUGCAAAAAUAUCCAGAAUUUAGUUAAAGGAUUACUAAAUAAUCCUAUAUGAAGAAUAUAUAAAUAUAAAUAAAGGCAAAAUAGAGAUCACACAUUCUCGAAUAAAUUAAAUAAAAAAAAAGUUAGUUUCCUGAGAAGACAGUAGUUUAUCAGAUAACGAUCUUCUCACGACGAGAAAACAGUGGGACGUUGGUCAACGACGAUGACACGACGAUAAAUACAUCAUCUGAUAAUCCUUGUUGAAAAUUCUUGUCAACCAUCUUUCUGUAUUCCUGCAAAUAUCACAAAUAAAAAAUCAGUUUCUUGUAAAUUUAACUGUUGUGAGAUAGAUAAAAGGUAAUUCAUUAUCGUGUCUGACAGGUUAUCUUUUGCGUCUGUUCUAAAGGCUAUCCAGGAGAAAUAUUAUGUAACUAAUUUUUUUUUGGUUAUUUAGUGAGCUACAAUGUCGUGAUCCUGUAAAGUAAAUGACACAUAAUAAAUAUUAUAAUUUAUGUUAACAAUGUUCGUAAAUAACAAGAAGUUGGUGUAUCUACCUGUUAUGCUGUGCAAUCUGGUUUUAUCAGAACGAAUAAUUAGAAUGAUUCAUGGAAUGGUGCGGAGAUGUUUAAAAUUAGUUAUCGAGUAUGUGAAUCAUCGUGCAAACAACAUCCGUCGUUUAAACCGAGAUAAAAUUAUUUACGAAAGUAUUCGAACAUUUGUUUGUUGAAACGUUGAUAAUAAAAAUAUGCGAUUAUUUAAAAAUA